GUGGGCUUCUGUGUUUAUAAUCGGAAAUUUUCGGUUACAGUUUGCGCUCAUGACUCUCCCGCUUUGUUUCGAAAGUAAUUUUGUUUGGAAUUCUGCACUUCACUUACCGUUAGUUGAGCGACAAAUUUGUUUCCGUGUUUUAUUCAAUCUGAAUUAUGACUAAAUUAAGUGCACUAAUUAAAUUUCGCUAAAGUUUUGCUUAUUGAAAAAUUACGUUUUGGAACUUUUCACUUUUGAAAGAUUCACAUUUAGAAUUUAACCAUAACGAAUAUUUUAUAUUUGUUUUGGAAACUUAAUCCUCCGUUAAAAUACUUCUCAAGAACACUCGGAUUGAACUACUGAAAGAUAAUUUUGGAAAAUGAGCGUCUGCUCUGCAACUAUCCCGAUUGUGGCGUGUAUCAUCCUCGCCGGUUUUGUCACUGGAAGACUGCUUCAUGCUGAAAAACUUGCUCUCCUUCAUUCAGAGAGAGUAUCAGAGUUGGGAGCAUGCGAAGUGCCCAAGCCCCAAGUCAUCCAUGUCAGCGACCACUAUCCAGGAAGAUACUUCUUACCACAUUGUACCCUCUUGCAUCGAUGUGGUAAGCAUGCAGGAUGUUGCGGCGUAGACAGCUUGAGAUGCGUGGCAGCCCAGAAAGAGAAAGUAACUUUGCAUUUUUACAGCGUACGUGUUUUUGAAGACGGCACACCGCCAGAGAAGAAGAUCGAAAAAUUAGUAUUCUCCAAUCAUACAAAGUGUGCCUGCGUGCCUGUCUACCAUCCCACAAAGAAUGACCUUUAAUUUUUAUUUAUGUUAUAACUUAUUGUAUGUACGUAUUUCUGUUAUCUGUUUUUUUUGUUAUAAUUUGAAUCUGUAGCUUCUUCGAUAUAUAAUUAUGCGAAGUUGCAUGCUAUAAUUUAACAUUAGAUGAAGAGAUUAUUUGAGUGCCCUAAUUCAAUGUUCGCGGAUUGCCAGCACUCCUUACUAACCAAAGAUGUUUCAUUAUUGAAGGCACCAUUUAUUGAAUGUUUCUAUAAAGAAAAUUUUGAGAAUGUUA